rnacentral:rRNA from 1 species
GUUGAUCUUAGCGAGUUUAAAAAUGGCGUCAUGACACUAGCAGACCCGGACAGACUGGACAUUAGACAAUUGAAGUACUGGUUGACAACUAGUUUCGGGCUUGAUCCUGAAGUAUGUUCCGUCAGUAUUCACGCAUUGUGGACCAAAUCUUGUAAAAAUGUCAAGUGGGAGUUGAUGCCGGUAGAUAGGAGCCAACAUUGGUUGUCCCUGUUAAGACGCUGCCGAGACCGAAGAAUCCACCCAUAUGUACUUGUGCAACCUGUGCCGAAGGAGGAGAAUGCCGUACAACUCCACAGAGGGUAUGAAACCGGUCAGGGCAGUGAAGUGGCGACCGAGAUUGUUUUAUCCGGGUCACAGCCACAAGAUAUGUAUGCUAGCCAACCCGAGAAAGAGUCGGAGUACGUGCCACACAAUGUUUGUGGUCCUGAUACUGGGCAGAGUAGCCAGUCGAUAAUAUUAGCUGGUUCUGGUUUUGCUGAUGGGGAUGAGGAAGGGGAUGAAAUGCAGAGGGUGAUGGAGCAAGAGGAUGAGGAUGGAUUGGUGGAGGAACUGGAUUCUGAAAAUUCUGAGGAUGAAGUGGAGGUACCGAUUCCUUCUGCAUGGGAGCAGGACAUAUCCACUGGCCUUACGGUCAACGAUGUCCAUGAGACUCCAUGGCAGUAUAAUCUGAACCAAGUACAGAUAGGGGCUAUGUUUGAUACAAAGAAAAAAUUGAAGUAUGCGGUGAUAAAGUGGGCUAUGUCUACGCAGAGGGUUUUUCGGACACACAUAUCAAGUCCAACAAACUAUACCGUGAAAUGUGUUGAA